CUGACACGCUGAGAGGAGUUGCAUGGCCGACGUCAGCCUGUGCCGUGAGGUGACCUGUUAAAUCAGGUAACAGGCAAGACCCGCGUCUCUAUUUACAUUUACUAUAGAGAGAUUGCCAUGGUAACAUGGAUGAAAGUGCGGGCUACGUUAGGUGAGUACGGCCCGAACCCCCUGGGCGACACGCGCGCGGCAACGGUGAAUACAGCGGGACGCAACUCCGAAAGGAGAAGCUAAUCCCUUAAAGUUCAUCUCAGUCCAGAUUGAGGUUUGAAACUCAGCCUCAUGACGAUGGAAUCCAUAGUAAUCGUUUGUUAGCAACGAACGGUGAAUAUGUCCCUGUCUCUUGCACACACUGCCCGUCAAACCAACCGAGUUUAGUUAUGAUGAAACCUUUCGAGGGAGAAUCUUAUCUAGACAAGGUAGGUUAAGUCGUCACAAGGUAACUGUAGGGGAACCUGCAGUUGGAUCACCUCCUAAA
rnacentral:rRNA from 1 species